rnacentral:rRNA from 1 species
GGUUGAUCCUGCCAGUAGUCAUAUGCUUGUCUCAAAGAUUAAGCCAUGCAUGUCUAAGUAUAAAUAGUAUACAGUGAAACUGCGAAUGGCUCAUUAAAACAGUUAUAGUUUAUUUGAUAAUUGACAAUUACAUGGAUAACCGUGGUAAUUCUAGAGCUAAUACAUGCUUAAACGCCCGACUUUAUGGAAGGGUGGUAUUUAUUAGACUGAAGCCAAUAUUCCUUGUGUCUAUUGCGGUGAUUCAUAAUAACUGAUCGAAUCUCUUUUUGAGAUAAAUCAUUCAAGUUUCUGCCCUAUCAGCUUUCGAUGGUAGUGUAUUGGACUACCAUGGCAGUAACGGGUAACGAAGAAUUAGGGUUCGAUUUCGGAGAGGGAGCAUGAGAAACGGCUACCACACCUAAGGAAGGCAGCAGGCGCGUAAAUUACCCAAUCCUGACUCAGGGAGGUAGUGACAAGAAAUAGCAAACCGGGAACCUCAUGGUUUCACGGUAUUGCAAUGAGAACAAUUUAAAACCCUUAGCGAGAAUCAAGUGGAGGACAAGUCUGGUGCCAGCACCCGCGGUAAUUCCAGCUCCACUAGCGUAUAUUAAAGUUGUUGCAGUUAAAAAGCUCGUAGUUGAACCUCUGUCUGGGGCUAGUUUUGGCUUUGGUCAGGCUAGUUCUAGGCAUCCGCCUACAAGACUUAGAGGGCAUUCAGUUGUUCACUAGGAGGAGUAGGCAUUUUACUUUGAAAAAAUUAGAGUGUUUAAGGCAGGCAAUCGCCCGCAUAUAUUAGCAUGGAAUAAUAGAAUAGGACACUUUUCCAUUUCGUUGGUUAUUGGAAUCGUGUAAUGAUUAAUAGGGACAGUUGUGGGCAUUUGUAUUUAAUUGUCAGAGGUGAAAUUCUUGGAUUUAUUAAAGACAAACUAACGCGAAAGCAUUUGCCAAGGAUGUUUUCAUUAAUCAAGAACGAAAGUUAGGGGAUCAAAGACGAUCAGAUACCGUCCUAGUCUUAACUAUAAACUAUUCCGACUCAAUGUUUGACUGGCUUAUAUAACCAGUUGAGCGUUAUAUGAGAAAUCAAAGUCUUUAGGUUCUGGGGGGAGUAUGGUUGCAAAGCUGAAACUUAAAGGAAUUGACGGAAGAGCACAACCAGGAGUGGAUUCUGCGGCUUAAUUUGACUCAACACGGGGAAUCUUACCAGGUUAAAACAAUAGUGGGAUUGACAGUUUGAGAGCGCUUUCUUGAUUGGUUGGGUGGUGGUGCAUGGCCGUUCUUAGUUGGUGGAGUGAUUUGUCUGCUUAAUUGCGUUAACGAACG